CACAGGCAGGCAGCAGGGUUAGCUGCGGGAUUCACUUGUUCAAGAAGGACUAGGUGAUUAUAGUCACAGCAAUGUCAAAGUCUUGAAGCUUUAUUUUAAGGGUGAGCAUCUUCUUCCAAGUGCCAGUUCUGGUUUCAUCUCAUUUGCUGCAGAAUUGUAUUUAUUUUGACAGCCUUUCUCCGUCUCCUUCCUUUGAAUCAAAAGGUCGGAACUGGCUUAUUUUUGGCUGUAGUGUUUUGAAAGAAUGCAGGGGGAUCACGUGUAGUGUUUAAGUGAAAUUGACAGAGUUCCCUUAUUUUUAUCAUCAUUUUUAAUUUGAACCAAGACCUCUUAUGAAAGCAUGGCCUGGAUGAUGAUUCGUGUGAGGUCCUCUGCCAGUUUCAGGGUGUAUUAACCGAAACUUGAGACGUGAGAAUGAUAUCGACACCUGAAGGCAUGCCGUGUCAGAGCUCUAACAGUGUUGAUACCGUAAGGCACCACCACUGGAGCUUUGAUAGUAGUUUCGGCACCCUAAGGCACGCCGUGCUGGAGCUCAACGACAGCCGUGCUGCAGAUCGGUGGAAGUCUCACCCACUUCUUUCUUGCUUUCUUCCACUCCUCAAGCUGCUGUGUUCCUCUCCUCCGUCCCCCCUUUUUCCUUUUCAUGAAGUGCUUUUAUAUUGCACCGAUCUUGAGUUUGGUUUGUAUAAAACAUAGAGUUUUAGAGUUCAACUUGGAGUGAACUACUUGGGGAACUUGUAUUUCGUGAAGACUACAACUCUUGUAUUUUGUAAUUGCUUUGUAAUCUAGAUUUUGACAAAACAAGAAGGCUGACGUCUUGUAAAAUCCAAUAGACCAGCUUAAUGACUCUUGUGCUUUUUCCUUUCA